CACGUAGGCACCAAGCGUUGUCCGGAUUUAUUGGGCGUAAAGAGCUCGUAGGCGGUUCGGUAAGUCGGGUGUGAAAACUCUGGGCUCAACCCAGAGCCGCCACCCGAUACUGCUGUGACUUGAGUUCGGUAGGGGAGCGGGGAAUUCCUGGUGUAGCGGUGAAAUGCGCAGAUAUCAGGAGGAACACCAGUGGCGAAAGCACUCUGCUGGGCCGAAACUGACACUGAGAGACGAAAGCUAGGGGAGCGAAUGGG
rnacentral:rRNA from 1 species